GAAAUCUAUGCCCUUACCCAUCACACACACAGCACAGCAGCGUCUUGCAGAAAAAUCGUUUGCUUCGAUUUAGGGUUUUCUCGUAUCCUGGGAAAUGGCUGAUUCUCCUCGCCAAAGGUAUUCACGCUCUCCUUCUCCUUGGGAAGAAAAGUCGAGAUCUGGAUCUAGAUCAAGGUCUAGAUCUCCACCUGGGUCAUAUUCAAGGCCAAAGGAAAGAUCCAGGUCUAGAUCAAGGUCAAGAAGCCGUGGAAGGGAAGAAGUUUCUAAUCCUGGAAACACACUUUAUGUGACUGGAUUGUCUACAAGGGUCACGGAAAGGGACCUGGAGGAGCAUUUCUCAAAGGAGGGGAAGGUGAAAUCAGUUUUUCUUGUCAUGGAGCCCCGUUCUCGGAUUUCUCGUGGUUUUGCUUUUAUAACAAUGGAUAGUCUGGAGGAUGCUAAUCGUUGCAUUAAACACCUUAAUCAGUCGGUUCUUGAAGGCCGUUACAUCACAGUGGAAAAGUCUCGGAGGAAACGCGCAAGGACUCCUACGCCUGGUCACUAUCUGGGGCUUAAGAAUGCAAGGGAUGAUGGUUAUCGUGGAGACCGUGGCAGGUAUAGAGAUCGUGAGGACUAUGGGUACCGAAGAUCUCCAAGGCAUUCACCAUAUAGAGGUGGACGAGAUUAUUCACCUAGGCGUUCGCCUUAUGGUGGAAGGUCAAGAAGGGAGCGUUCUAGGUCAUAUUCUCCUUAUGGAAGGAGCUAUCCUCGUGGUCCCAGAUAGGCAUAAGCCCCAGUGACAAUGUAAAACUGCUACAAGGAUCGUUAUAGUGUGGUUUGUCUAGGCUGGUGUGUUUAUUUAUUGUGCUUUAUCUCUAGCUGACUUCCUUAUUGUACCUUAAGUUUGCAACAAGGUUUAAGUAGUGACAUUAUGAACCCUGGGAAAUAUAAUUCUACUGUUGAUUUGAUGGAAGGUUUAAUU
rnacentral:misc_RNA from 1 species